rnacentral:rRNA from 1 species
GAUGAACGCUGGCGGCGUGCUUAACACAUGCAAGUCGAGCGAGAAGUUUUGAAAAGAUUCUUCGGAUGGAAUUUAAAAUGGAAAGCGGCGGACGGGGGAGUAACGCGUAGGCAACCUGCCACAUACAAAGGGAUAGCAUUUGGAAACGAAUAUUAAUACCUUAUGAAACUUAACUAGUGAAUGCUAGGUAGGUCAAAGAUUUAUCGGUAUGGGAUGGGCCUGCGUCUGAUUAGCUAGUUGGUGAGGUAACGGCCAACCAAGGCGACGAUCAGUAGCCGACGUGGGUGGGCGAACAGCUAGGUAGGAAGUGAGACACGGGCCAAACACCGACGGGAGGAAGCAGUAGGGAAGAAUGAAGAAUGGGGGAAAGACGGAGGCAGCAACGCUGCGUGAAGGAGGAAGGCGGUUGGGACGCAAAGUUCUGUUCUAGGGGAGGAAAACUGACAGUAACCGAUGAGAAAGCCCCGGCUAACUCCGUG